UCUUCGGAGUUAGUGGCGGACGGGUGAGUAACACGUGGGAACGUGCCUUUAGGUUCGGAAUAACUCAGGGAAACUUGUGCUAAUACCGAAUGUGCCCUUCGGGGGAAAGAUUUAUCGCCUUUAGAGGGGCCCGCGUCUGAUUAGCUAGUUGGUAGUGUAAUGGACUACCAAGGGGACGAUCAGUAGCUGGUCUGAGAGGAUGAUCAGCCACAUUGGGACUGAGACACGGCCCAAACUCCUACGGGAGGCAGCAGUGGGGAAUCUUGCGCAAUGGGCGAAAGCCUGACGCAGCCAUGCCGCGUGAAUGAUGAAGGUCUUAGGAUUGUAAAAUUCUUUCACCGGGGACGAUAAUGACGGUACCCGGAGAAGAAGCCCCGGCUAACUUCGUGCCAGCAGCCGCGGUAAUACGAAGGGGGCUAGCGUUGCUCGGAAUUACUGGGCGUAAAGGGAGCGUAGGCGGACAUUUAAGUCAGGGGUGAAAUCCCGGGGCUCAACCUCGGAAUUGCCUUUGAUACUGGGUGUCUUGAGUAUGAGAGAGGUGUGUGGAACUCCGAGUG
rnacentral:rRNA from 1 species